GUGGGGAAUCUUAGACAAUGGGGGAAACCCUGAUCUAGCCAUGCCGCGUGAGCGAUGAAGGCCUUAGGGUUGUAAAGCUCUUUCAGCUGGUAAGAUAAUGACGGUACCAGCAGAAGAAGCCCCGGCUAACUCCGUGCCAGCAGCCGCGGUAAUACGGAGGGGGCUAGCGUUGUUCGGAAUUACUGGGCGUAAAGCGCGCGUAGGCGGACCAGAAAGUUGGAGGUGAAAUCCCAGGGCUCAACCUUGGAACUGCCUUCAAAACUCCUGGUCUGGAGUUCGAGAGAGGUGAGUGGAAUUCCGAGUGUAGAGGUGAAAUUCGUAGAUAUUCGGAGGAACACCAGUGGCGAAGGCGGCUCACUGGCUCGAUACUGACGCUGAGGUGCGAAAGCGUGGGGAGCAAACAGGAUUAGAAACCCGAGUAGUCC
rnacentral:rRNA from 1 species